UGCAGUUGAUACUGGGGGCCUUGAGUGCGGCAGAGGCAGGCGGAAUUCGUGGUGUAGCGGUGAAAUGCUUAGAUAUCACGAAGAACUCCGAUUGCGAAGGCAGCUUGCUGGACCGUAACUGACGUUGAUGCUCGAAAGUGCGGGUAUCAAACAGGAUUAGAUACCCUGGUAGUCCGCACAGUAAACGAUGAAUACUCGCUGUUGGCGAUAUACUGCCAGCGGCCAAGCGAAAGCGUUAAGUAUUCCACCUGGGGAGUACGCCGGCAACGGUGAAACUCAAAGGAAUUGACGGGGGCCCGCACAAGCGGAGGAACAUGUGGUUUAAUUCGAUGAUACGCGAGGAACCUUACCCGGGCUUGAACUGCAGCGGAAUGAUUUGGAAACAGAUCAGCGAGCAAUCGCCGCUGUGGAGGUGCUGCAUGGUUGUCGUCAGCUCGUGCCGUGAGGUGUCGGCUUAAGUGCCAUAACGAGCGCAACCCUUACCGAUAGUUGCCAUCAGGUGACGCUGGGGACUCUAUCGGGACUGCCGUCGUAAGAUGUGAGGAAGGUGGGGAUGACGUCAAAUCAGCACGGCCCUUACGUCCGGGGCUACACACGUGUUACAAUGGGGGGUACAGCAGGCCGCUACCGGGCGACCGGAUGCCAAUCCCUAAAACCCCUCUCAGUUCGGACUGGAGUCUGCAACCCGACUCCACGAAGCUGGAUUCGCUAGUAAUCGCGCAUCAGCCACGGCGCGGUGAAUACGUUCCCGGGCCUUGUACACACCGCCCGUCAAGCCAUGAAAGCCGGGGGUACNNNAAGUGCGUAACCGCAAGGAGCGCCCUAGGGUAAAACUGGUGAUUGGGGCUAAGUGGUAACAAGGUAGCCGUAA
rnacentral:rRNA from 1 species